rnacentral:rRNA from 1 species
UACGGGGGGAGCAAGCGUUGUCCGGAAUUAUUGGGCGUAAAGGGCGUGUAGGCGGUUUGGUAAGUCGAAUGUGAAAUCUCACGGCUCAACCGUGAAACUGCGUUCGAAACUGCUUAACUUGAGUACGGGAGAGGUGUACGGAAUUCCUGGUGUAGCGGUGGAAUGCGUAGAUAUCAGGAAGAACACCGGUGGCGAAGGCGGUACACUGGCCCAGUACUGACGCUGAGGCGCGAAAGCGUGGGGAGCAAACAGGAUUAGAUACCCCCGUA